GUGUUCAGAUUGGCAACAUGUAUACUAUAACUGAAAUAAUACAGAGAUUAGCAUGGCCUCUGCGAAGAUAGUAUGUAUAUUCAUGAAACAUUUCGUAUUGUG